CGAAGUUAAGACAAGAAGCAAAACAGAAUGAUGACUCAAAAUUCGUCUGAAGGUUGACAGGUCACAGUCGGACAGGCCAUAUGAAGUUCCCGAGAAGAAAGAAAAACCAUUUCCAGAUUAUUCCCAAAUGACCUUUCCUUGCCACCAAAAAUGGAAGAGAACGCUACAGCAAACAUACGGAAAUGUCUUAAUUGUUUACUCUUUAAUGAAUAUCGAUCCCAAUUCACAUCAAGUAUUUGCCUUCGACUGCUUGUAGACGAGAGCGUUGGAUUUUCUUUAGAUCAUAACUCAUCUUUAUCUCGACGUUCAAUAUUCACCAACGAAAGUAGCGCUCUACUACACGAGGAGCUAACAAUUGCCUAAUUGACUCGGAGAAAUCAGAACUUUGAACUCGGAUUCAGGAACUGGAUCUGAGCUUCCCCAGUUCCACCUAAUUAAGAAAGGAAACUAAAGGAAAUUAUACUGCAAUGAUCCGAUUGCUUCUAACCUUACCUCUCGGUCAGAUUUCAGCAAGUGAACAGUUACAUACCAUCCGUGUUUCUGUAUUGCCUUUAAGAGCAUAAACCCAGGAGCAAGAUGAGAAAGGAGACGACUCGAGUUUCAAAAGAAACCCAUACAAUCAUCUUGACCCUGGACGGAAAGUGGUUCGACGCGUUUCGUGAGAAUCGUGAAUUAAAGCCGAAAGGGUGUCAACAGAUAUCUGUGAAACAGAUGCAGAAUGGAUAUGGUACUAAUUUUAGCAAUGCGUGGGAGCUGUUAACCUGUAAUACGCCUCCGUUAUACUAUCAAGAGACAACUACAUACUCAAGUGCCAUAUUCCCUCGGCCCAAAAGGAUUAGAAUUACUCGGAAAACCUAAAUAAAGAUUUCUUUCUCAAAUAUAA